GGAAAUGUGCCUGAAAUUAAGGGUCACUAUGAUAAAGUGAACAUAGAGGUCUAUCAAUCCUCUCAUUUCCU
rnacentral:tRNA from 1 species